AUACUCUAGUUGAUUACACUACAAUUCAUCUUCAAAAGCAUCCAUUUUCUUCUUCACUCAAACCCUAGAAAAAUACAAUGAAUAGAAAGGUGGUGAAAAAGCCGCCAUCGAUGGAACUUCCGGAAGGUAUAUGGGCUAAUAUACUACACAAGCUUGGUGUUGUAGAGAUACUGGAGACAACUGAGAAAGUGUGCAGCAAGUGGAGGCGACUGUGUAAGAAUCCUUCAACGUGGCGAGUCAUUGACAUGUGGAACCUCAGAGACCUCUCUGAAAUGGAUUACGACUUAGAGGUAAUGUGCCGACAUGCUGUUGAUCGCAGCCAAGGUGAAGCUGUUGAUAUCAAUUUGCAGUACUUUGCCACUGCUCAGUUGCUUGAGUACAUAGCUGAAAGGUUCUGCUGAUGACCAAUUACUCUGUAGAUUCUAUCAGCAGGUGUUUGAUUUUAUCUUUUACCGAUUUUAUUUAGCCUUCACUCUAUAAGCAACUGGAGAAGUAACUGACUUAUUAGGUUGAUGCAGCUGUUUUUGAGAGGGAGCGCAUGCUGCUGGUCAAAAUAUCUGAGCUAGCCGUGGACUCAGAUUAACUUUGCUGUCAUGCUUCUUGUUUAUAAAGACCUUUGCUUAAACUGAUGUUACGUCAAUUAUGCAAGAUGAGUAGCUUUACGAAUGAAUUAACUACUACUGAAAAGCUUAAAUACAUGCAGGUGAAUACCUAAUCGGUUUCUUUAAUGCAUAUAGGUCAUCUAACUUCUCUAAUGGAUUGAAAAAAUUGAAAGAAACUAUAAGAGAGAGACCACAAACUAAAUUUUAUCAGGUGUAGGAGCACAAUUGUUUUUUCUCUCCACAAAUUCAAAACAAAAAAUGAAGUUGAAGGGAAAUCUACUUUGUUAUGGCCCAAUUUAUUUUUUCAUCUUGUAAUUUGUUUGGAUUGAAUGCUUCACUCGAAACAUUAUGUAGACAAUCCCCAACAACAGCGUACAGAUUGCUGCAGACAUCAUGUAUCAUAUCAUUCUUCUUUUCCAUCA